GUUGUGAAGAGACCAGUGAGUUAACCCUGCCCGGUUAACCGUUGUUUCAUCACCUUUGUUAGGUGAAAUUUGAAGCCCUAAAUAGGCUUCAAAUUCUUUUAUUUAUGCCCUUUUAUCUAAACUAUAAGAAUCCAAGAAACCUCGUGUCCCCGUCAAUACCGUGCUAUCCUAUGACGCCACGUAAUACACAGCUUGCACCGGCCAUAUGGCAUUUAAGGGUUGAUGAUAGAAAAGAAGAAGGAAUCAUACCCUUUCAUAGGUUAUGUUUUGCUGUCUAUCCUAACUAGCUUGGAGUGGUUCGGUUUAAUAGGAUGUUCAAAGUAGUUCGCGUCUUUGGUGUUAAUUCUUGUUUGUUUUUGGUACGGAUUCCUUUUUUGUGGCAACUGGCAACUACGAGAAGUUGUUAUUGGAAAACUCACAGGGACCCACCAAUACCCGACUCACUAAUGGGAUCAGGUAAAACGCAGCUUGCGCCGGAGAGGUGGCCUUCAAUAGGGUUAAAAGGCACAAAACACUGGAUUGGGACCUGGUAUGGGUUUCUUGAUGAUGUGUGAUUUGGACUUCCUGUAUUGGGUUCUAGGAACAAGUUGGGUAAUAAGCGUUUGUUUUUAUGCGUAAUUUCCGUGACCCACACAAUACGCAUUCGGAUUUUUUUGGUGGUCGAUAAUCGCUUAAAUAAAACGUCACCAAAACUCCAAAAGCAAUUUUUAUGUUGGAAUGUAACCCAUCCUUGAAAUAGAAGUCUCAGUGUUUAUUCGUUUGUCUUCUGAUUCUCACAGCCACAAAUUGUGAAGCUGCUGCUGAUUGCAUCUUUUUAAAAGCUUAAACUAAAUGGAUCUUGGCAAGGCCGGCCCUAAGGGUGGGCGGGGAGGACCACCGGCCAGGGCCUGAUAUUUUGAAGGGCACGUUAUUUUAAAAAAAAAUCCGAUAAAUAUAUGUAAAAAAAAAUUUUUUAAUAGGGUAUACCCAUACAAACACCAACACAGGUCCACUUACAAAACUAUUCUUAUGGUUUAGAUUAGUUACUAGCCCAUUGGCAUUAGUUUUAGAUCUUUAGUGAGCCCAAUACCCAAUUUCGUUAAGGCCUAAGGGCACGUUUUUCGAGCUCGAACAGUGUACACGAAUUCUCAGGACCGGCCAUCUUGGGUCGGGACAGUCAGUCCCAGUCGAAAUCUAGGCGAGCCGGUCCACCAGCCAGCCUGUCAAUCCCUGGAGUUUGAUACAUAUAUGUUUAUUAUGUUAGUUUAACCAGAACCACAUAAAAGAAAAAGUCUAAAGUUGACAAUCUGCCAAGUUUGAAGUAUAAUAUGUGGGCUACAACAACUUAAAACUAGAUGACCAUAUUAUCAUAUAAUUCCAUGAAUGUUUCUUUCUUGAGAUGGUAGUUUUAAACCAUUUACAUGUCAAUUUGGGUAAAAGUUGGCCUCUAAAAGGAUGUAAGGAACAAUACAAACCAAAGCAAGUCAACCGGAUUUAGAUCCCAACGGUUUGGUUUUGCUGUUUGGUUAUUUUAUGCUUUAGUCCGGUUUGAAACUUUGAACCGGUAAUUUGUGGAAUAUGUAUUUAUGUAUAUAUGGAUUAGAAUUAUGAACCAUAUUUAUCAUUUAUAGAAGAGUAGUUUGAAAUCUUGCCUUUCAUCCAUGGGGGCCACAUAUUUUAAGGGACGGAAGUCGUAACAAAUUGCCAACCUCAAGGAUGAAAAUGAUAAAAAAAAAAAAAAAAAAAAAAAAAAAAAAAAAA